rnacentral:tRNA from 1 species
AAUGUAAGGUUUAUUCUUACAAGUAGUACUUGUAUAUUAAUGAUAUUAUUUUGAGUUUUUUAGGUGCUUUC